GCCUAGCCGCGAUAGCAGUGGAAAUCCUUUUCUUUUUUUCUUUAAAAAAGAAAAGAUUGUAACGGAUAGCGGGAAAUAGC
rnacentral:sRNA from 1 species